CCUAAUGUGGACACAACAAAGGGGCUGGUUAUUCAAAUUGACAGUAGCUUAGUAGAUGAAGCAAUUGAGGAUAUGAAGAUAGGGAAAGCUUCCAGCCCAUCAGGAAUCACUGCUGAGAUGCUUAAAAUAUUUGGUGGAGUGGGAUUACAGCCUGGUC